UUAAGUUCAGCGGGUAUUCCUACCUGAUUUGAGACCAUGGUUCAAGCUUUUUUACGGCUUCAAGUUUAUGGACUGCAAAGCACAGUCGAGCUAAUUUUUACUGCAUCUUAAUAGGCAUUAUAAGAGAUAAAUCCCAUUCAAAUACUUUUCUGAUGCUUUGCAAAAAGUCAAACACUCUUAGCGCAGUUCAGUUAUAGAUU
rnacentral:misc_RNA from 1 species